AUUGUACAAAAAUAUUAUUAUUCAGUGUGCCGAGGUGCUGCAAUAGCAGCACUCGGCACAAUGACUAUUAUUGCCCAUACUUAUU